UUGAUCCUGGCUCAGGAUGAACGCUAGCGGCAGGCCUAACACAUGCAAGUCGAGGGGCAGCAGGAACAAUAGCAAUAUUGUUUGCUGGCGACCGGCGCACGGGUGCGUAACACGUAUGCAACCUACCUCAUACAGGGGCAUAGCCCAGAGAAAUCUGGAUUAAUUCCCCAUAAUAUAUAGAUAAGGCAUCUUAUUUAUAUUAAAGUCACAACGGUAUGAGAUGGGCAUGCGUCCAAUUAGCUAGUUGGUGAGGUAAUGGCUCACCAAGGCUUCGAUUGGUAGGGGGUCUGAGAGGAUGAUCCCCCACACUGGUACUGAGACACGGACCAGACUCCUACGGGAGGCAGCAGUGAGGAAUAUUGCGCAAUGGAGGAAACUCUGACGCAGCCAUGCCGCGUGAAGGACGACUGCCCUAUGGGUUGUAAACUUCUUUUGUACGGGAAUAAACCCUUGCUCGUGAGCGAGGUUGAA
rnacentral:rRNA from 1 species